rnacentral:rRNA from 1 species
UGGGGAAUUUUGGACAAUGGGCGAAAGCCUGAUCCAGCAAUGCCGCGUGCAGGAAGAAGGCCUUCGGGUUGUAAACUGCUUUUGUACGGAACGAAACGGUCUUUUUUAAUACAAGGGGCUAAUGACGGUACCGUAAGAAUAAGCACCGGCUAACUACGUGCCAGCAGCCGCGGUAAUACGUAGGGUGCGAGCGUUAAUCGGAAUUACUGGGCGUAAAGCGUGCGCAGGCGGUUAUAUAAGACAGAUGUGAAAUCCCCGGGCUCAACCUGGGAACUGCAUUUGUGACUGUAUAGCUAGAGUACGGCAGAGGGGGAUGGAAUUCCGCGUGUAGCAGUGAAAUGCGUAGGUAUGCGGAGGAACACCGAUGGCGAAGGCAAUCCCCUGGGCCUGCACUGACGCUCAUGCACGAAAGCGUGGGGAGCAAACA